rnacentral:rRNA from 1 species
GAAGGUGGCAAGCGUUGUUCGGAUUUACUGGGCGUACAGGGAGCGUAGGCGGUUCGGUAAGCCCUCUGUGAAAUCUCCAGGCUUAACCUGGAACAGUCGGAGGGGACUGCUGGGCUAGAGGACGGGAGAGGAGCGCGGAAUUCCCGGUGUAGCGGUGAAAUGCGUAGAGAUCGGGAGGAAGGCCGGUGGCGAAGGCGGCGCUCUGGAACGUUUCUGACGCUGAGGCUCGAAAGCGUGGGGAGCAAACAGGAUUAGAUACCCUGGUAGUCCACGCCUUAAACUAUGAAUACUAAGUGUCGGCGGGUUACCGCCGGUGCCGCAGCUAACGCAUUAAGUAUUCCGCCUGGGAAGUACGGCCGCAAGGUU